CGGACGGCAAACUUUAUAGAUAGGUAGGUAAUUAAUCAUUUUACGGACCAGGUCGUUUUUCGACUUUACCGGUUCAACGGCCGGACAAUAUCGAACAACCGAAAAAAAACGACGAGUACCAUCUAACUACACCUACACUUGAAAUUUUGUUUUAAUCCCGAUCAAAUUUUUUUUUUUUUUUGACGUGGUAAUAAUAUUAAAAAUUACUUGUCCGCCGGUAUCUGACCCAGCGUCGAAACGAGUCGAAUACCCAGUUUGUGUUUUUUUUCCUU